GGAAAUCUGAUAAUUGCAUAGAUCCUAGCCAUUGGAUCAUCGAAAACUGAUGAUUGUAUAAGAGCUCCCUGACCAUUAUACAAGAGCUUCCUGGCCAAUGGCCAUGGACCAGCUCUGCUUUUUAAUUAUAUAUACAGAAAGCUAUUUGAUACACCACCCAUGAAAAUGCAAACUUACUGAAACAGGUCAGGUAAUCAAAGUAUAUACUAAACCAGGUACUUAAGGCAAUUGAAAUACAAAACCGAAUAUGUACUCAUAAUACAUAGUCAGGGUACUGUGCGGCGAACUGGAUCAGAAUAUGUAGUCAGGGUAUUGGAGGAAAAAACGGGGUACCUCAACCUCGAACUCGGCACCUUUUGGAUCUGUCAAUCUGGAAAAGCACAAGAUAAGAGAUGAAAAAUUCAUUAUUACAAAAUACAUUGGCUUUUUGCAAGACACUUAAAAUGUCUCUCUAUAUUGUUUGUCAAAGUUGUGGGAAUAUGGAAGAUUGAUAAAAUUCAUAACAAGCAAACUGAAAUUCAUAAUUGAAAUGAAUUUUAAUAUACUAUAUCCAAUCGCAACAUUACAUAAUAUGUGCCGCAUAAUCACCUAAAACAGAUUAAUUUGCUCGCUGUUACUCAUUUCACUAAGAUAGAUGGUGAGUGCUUGCAUAUGGUGCCUCAAGUUAUUUAUUGCAUAACAUUUACUGUGAGAUGAGGCUGUAAUAUGAGUCAAGCUGGUCACUAUCCGACCAAUCUCGUUCUCAUUUAUCUAGGGUUGAUCUCACUAACAGACAAGCCGAGCGUGAACAAGAAAUAUUCUUGAUUAGUAUUUAGGCUUAAUUUGUCUUGAACACAAUAACAUCUACUCACUCGAGUAAAUUACUUGAGCUCGACUCAUCUCAUUUACAAAAAGGAUUGAGCUCAAGUUUUAACAAGAAACAAUUGUUGUGCUCGACUCGUUUAAAAAGCUCAAUAAACUCGAACACUUUCAACAGCAUGAGAGGUGGUGACGCAUGGUUGAUGAUGCCUCGACUAAAUUUACAGCUGCACUAUAUAAGUUAUUGUAUAUAUAGCAACCACCUUAACAUUAUGUGGCAGAUGCAAGGGGGCUUAAACCACCUCCCGUGGCCUAAAAAAAAUAGUUGAUAAAAUGUAAGUGCAUAUAUGUAUAUAACCAGUGUGUGUGAUGAAUAUAUGUGUGCGAGAAGCAGUAGAAACAAUGUAAGAGAAAAACUCUUGUAUUGCUAGCUGGAAGCUUAAUUUACAUUGAGAGAUAACUGACUUUAAACAGAGAAAAUGAAACUUGGGCACUACUUAAUCUACAGUACAUGAGGUCACUAUUAGACUAUUACUGUACAAUCCGAGGUCAUUGUUGUGAGGUCAUCAGCAUGAAGUCAUUGUGUAUGCUUUAACACCCCCCCUCAAACUUAAGAUGGUUGAAGAACUAACUUUAGUUUGAAAACAAAAGUUCGAAAGCUGCCAGGAGGAUGUAUUUUGGUGAAUAUAUCUCAGCAUUAUCAAGACCGGAGACAGCACAUAGGUGAACCGUGCCUUUGGCAACUUGCUGUCGAGUGAAAUGACAUCGAUCUCGAUGUGUUUAGUGCGUUCAUGAAAAACAUCAUUAUGAGCUAUGUCCAUUGCACUUUUACUAUCACAAAAUAUAGUAAUUGCUGGAGAGUGAGUUACACUCAUAUCUUCAAGCAACCAGCACAAUNUAUAUACUAAACCAGGUACUUAAGGCAAUUGAAAUACAAAACCGAAUAUGUACUCAUAAUACAUAGUCAGGGUACUGUGCGGCGAACUGGAUCAGAAUAUGUAGUCAGGGUAUUGGAGGAAAAAACGGGGUACCUCAACCUCGAACUCGGCACCUUUUGGAUCUGUCAAUCUGGAAAAGCACAAGAUAAGAGAUGAAAAAUUCAUUAUUACAAAAUACAUUGGCUUUUUGCAAGACACUUAAAAUGUCUCUCUAUAUUGUUUGUCAAAGUUGUGGGAAUAUGGAAGAUUGAUAAAAUUCAUAACAAGCAAACUGAAAUUCAUAAUUGAAAUGAAUUUUAA
rnacentral:lncRNA from 1 species